rnacentral:snoRNA from 1 species
AGAAAUGAUGAGCUUGGCCGCUACCCGAUCGAUGAGGGUUAAACUCCGGUGCUGAUC